rnacentral:lncRNA from 1 species
GGAGCUUGUCAUAAAUUCUCUGCAGAGAGACCUGUGGACAUGUAAAAGCAAGCGCGGCUCUUUGGGACCUACAGGACUCACAAUCUUCCAGGGCUGGCCAUCCAGUUGCCACUUGUGGGGAGAGCCUCCUUCCUCAGGGUCAGAAGCAGAGCAGAACCAGCAGCCAUGGAGCAGAGACCAAGCCCGGCUGGAGGCUGGUGGCAGAACAAUGUUACAUAAUCCACAGCAAUCUGAAUGGAUUGAAAAGACUUCAUGGAGAUGGUUUAUAGUUUUUGCGGUCACCCCUGUUGCCAACACUUGUAAAGUUAUAAAAUUUAGCAAGGAAAGGCAUAGGUUUGCCUGUGUGGCCGAUAAUAAAUAAAAAAUCUCCCAAACUGAGCUGACAACUAAGAAAGAGAUAGGACAAGCAACACAGAGAAAGAAAACAAAGGAUAAUGAAAACGGCUCGGG